GAGUUUGAUCCUGGCUCAGGAUGAACGCUGGCGGCGUGCUUAACACAUGCAAGUCGAACGAACCUUCGGGUUAGUGGCGGACGGGUGAGUAACGCGUGGGAAUCUGCCCUCAGGAGGGGGAUAACGGUUGGAAACGACCGCUAAUACCCCAUAUGCCGAGAGGUGAAAUGAAUUUCGCCUGAGGAUGAGCCCGCGUCUGAUUAGCUUGUUGGUGAGGUAAUGGCUCACCAAGGCAUCGAUCAGUAGCUGGUCUGAGAGGAUGAUCAGCCACACUGGGACUGAGACACGGCCCAGACUCCUACGGGAGGCAGCAGUGGGGAAUUUUCCGCAAUGGGCGAAAGCCUGACGGAGCAACGCCGCGUGAGGGACGAAGGCCUCUGGGCUGUAAACCUCUUUUCUCAAGGAAGAAGAUAUGACGGUACUUGAGGAAUAAGCCACGGCUAAUUCCGUGCCAGCGGCCGCGGUAAUACGGGAGUGGCAAGCGUUAUCCGGAAUUAUUGGGCGUAAAGCGUCCGCAGGCGGCCUUUCAAGUCUGCUGUUAAAACGUGAGCUCAACUCCAUCAUGGCAGUGGAAACUGAUUGGCUUGAGUAUGGUAGGGGCAGAGGGAAUUCCCGGUGUAGCGGUGAAAUGCGUAGAUAUCGGGAAGAACACCAGUGGCGAAGGCGCUCUGCUGGGCCAUUACUGACGCUCAUGGACGAAAGCCAGGGGAGCGAAAGGGAUUAGAUACCCCUGUAGUCCUGGCCGUAAACGAUGAACACUAGGUGUCGGGGGAAUCGACCCCUUCGGUGUCGUAGCUAACGCGUUAAGUGUUCCGCCUGGGGAGUACGCACGCAAGUGUGAAACUCAAAGGAAUUGACGGGGGCCCGCACAAGCGGUGGAGUAUGUGGUUUAAUUCGAUGCAACGCGAAGAACCUUACCAGGGCUUGACAUCCUGCGAACCUUUAAGAAAUUAGAGGGUGCCUUCGGGAACGCAGUGACAGGUGGUGCAUGGCUGUCGUCGGCUCGUGUCGUGAGAUGUUGGGUUAAGUCCCGCAACGAGCGCAACCCACGUUUUUAGUUGCCAGCAUUUAGUUGGGCACUCUAGAAAGACCGCCGGUGAUAAACCGGAGGAAGGUGUGGAUGACGUCAAGUCAUCAUGCCCCUUACGUCCUGGGCUACACACGUACUACAAUACUACGGACAAAGGGCAGCAAACUCGCGAGAGCUAGCAAAUCCCAUAAACCGUGGCUCAGUUCAGAUCGUAGGCUGCAACUCGCCUACGUGAAGUAGGAAUCGCUAGUAAUCGCAGGUCAGCAUACUGCGGUGAAUACGUUCCCGGGCCUUGUACACACCGCCCGUCACACCAUGGAAGUUGGCCACGCCCGAAGUCGUUACUUUAACCCUUGUGGAGAAGGACGCCGAAGGUGGGGCUGAUGACUGGGGUGAAGUCGUAACAAGGUAACC
rnacentral:rRNA from 1 species